rnacentral:tRNA from 1 species
GUGCUUAUAGUUUAUGAGGUAAAACAAGUUCUUGAAAAGGACUAGAAGUAUUUUCUGAGCACA